AUUUUAUGAUACGGGUAUAACCUGGAAAUCCGUUGCAAUCUGCUGCAAUUUUGUUACAAAUUAUUAAUGAUCACGGUGCUGGGAGCCCGGUUGGAAUUGAACGGGGUUAGAUUUGAUCGGGCUGAAUUGAGAUGAUAUGGUUGGAAUUAAUAGAUCGUCCGGUUGUCCUGUGAAUCUUUAUGAUACGGGUAACUGAUAACCUGGUAAUCUGUUGCAAUCUGUUGCAAUUUUGUUACAAAUUAUUAAUAAUCACGGUGCUAGGAUCCCGGUUGGAAUU